rnacentral:rRNA from 1 species
CCUACGGGUGGCAGCAGUGAGGAAUAUUGGUCAAUGGGCGCGAGCCUGACGCAGCCAAGUAGCGUGAAGGAUGACUGCCCUCCGGGUUGUAAACUUCUUUUAUAAAGGAAUAAAGUGAGUCUCGUGUGCCUUUUUGUAUUUACUUUAUGAAUAAGGAUCGGCCAACCCCGUGCCAGCAGCCGAGGUAAUACGGAGGAUCCGAGCGUUAUCCGGAUUGAUUGGGGUUAACGGGAGCGUAGAGGGGUUGUUAAGUCAGUUGUGAAAGUUUGCGGCUCAACCGUAAAAUUGCAAUUGAUACUGGCAACCUGGAGUACAGUUGAGGUAGGCGGAAUUCGAGGUGUAGCGGUGAAAUGCGUAGAUAUCUCGAAGAACUCCGAUGGCGAAGGCAGCUUACUAAACUGCCACUGACACUGAGGCGCGAAAGUGUGGGUAUCAAACAGGAUUAGAUACCCCAGUAGUC